UAAAAUAAAAUGAUUUUAUUUUUUAUUAUGUUUAUUGUUUAUGUGAUGGCAUGGACCUUUAUUUUGCUUUUUGCUGUGUUCCACUUCCUGGAGCGGCCAUUUUGUCUCUUCCUGGUUAGGCUUAUUGUUGCUGUUUUCCCCCCUUCAUGUGGCUAAUUAGCAAAAUGGUUUCCUCCAUGCUCUGAUUGGUUUAGGCCCUGUUAAUUAGCCCCUUUGGCCUCCUUAAAGCAGACAACACAUGCACCCUUGCUCUCCAUUUCUGAUUUGCCCCUCUAGCUGCUGCUGGAAGCUCCUGUUUGAAGCCAAUGCUGUUCAUGCUUUUAAGGAUCAGUUCCUGACUAUUGCCUUGAUUUUAUGUACGGUAGGCCCAGCCAUUCGGGUUUUAAGGCCCCUUGGAUGUGUGGAUUUAAGCAGUGGUGUUCAGUUGCAUAAAGAGCCCUGUGUUUUAAUUGAAUAACUAUAUUCUUGAUUUGGUACCAAUGUUUUAAUGAAAGUAAAAAUAAAUGUGAAUGAGAUUUC